UUUUAAUUGAUAAUAGCUUUUUACUUUAUUGGUGGUGUUUGACAUUCUGUAAAGGGCAUAUCUCUCCGAUUUCCACGUCUAGUUAGAGUCCAUACGGCUAACAAAUCCCCUGAUCAAGCCUCAUCGUCUAAGCAGGUUGCUGAAAUAUAUCAAGCUCAAGCACAAAAACAAGAAUCACAUGGACAAUCCGUGAUGAAUAAAGACGAAGAUGAAUCACAUGAACAAUCUAAUAUCAUAAAUGAAGAUGAAGAUGAAGAUAAUUGACGGAAAAAAUGCCUCUGUGUUUUUUUUGGAAAAGGCAAAAAGAUUUAUUGAACUAAAGAAAUAAUGGCAUAAGGUAUGCCAAUACAACAGUAGCACACAAAUCCAAUACAAGGCACCUAAAAAAGCCCCCCAAAACCUGAAAAAAAACCUAAAAAAGCUGGGGAAAUUGAUGAUCAAAAAAACCUCUUACGCCGCUGCAACAUGCAGGACGGAUAACAUCCACUGCAGAGAACAAUACAACAAGAAAAAUAAGAUUGAAUAUUAGAAACAUGAUGGAGAAAAAGACUCUGGGGCCUCUGGCAAUAUAGUCCAGAAAAUGGUCAUCUUCACUUUGAGCACAAUUUUCUAUUCUUAUUUAAGGUGCCAUAGGUUCAAACUAAUUUUCAUUCUAAUUUUUCUACAAUUUUUUGAAUGUGUCACUUUAUAUUCUGCUUUUUGAACAUGAGAGCUUUAGUUGAUUUGAUUAGAA